GAUGAACGCUAGCGAUAGGCUUAACACAUGCAAGUCGAGGGGCAUCGAGGGUAGCAAUACCUGUCGGCGACCGGCGCACGGGUGAGUAACGCGUAUGUAACCUGCCCGCAACAGAGGGAUAACCCGGCGAAAGUCGGACUAAUACCUCAUAAAACAGGGGUUCCGCAUGGGGCUAUUUGUUAAAGAUUUAUUGGUUGCGGAUGGGCAUGCGUACCAUUAGGUAGUUGGUGAGGUAACGGCUCACCAAGCCAUCGAUGGUUAGGGGUUCUGAGAGGAAGGUCCCCCACACUGGUACUGAGACACGGACCAGACUCCUACGGGAGGCAGCAGUGAGGAAUAUUGGUCAAUGGGCGAGAGUCUGAACCAGCCAAGUCGCGUGAAGGAUGACUGCCCUAUGGGUUGUAAACUUCUUUUACAGGGGAAUAAAAAUGAGAUAACGUGUAAUUUAAUG
rnacentral:rRNA from 1 species